rnacentral:lncRNA from 1 species
GAUUUCGUCCAUUGGAAAUAGCCUAUCUUUUUGUAGUCGAUAGUAUUAAACAUGUCAAACCAACCCGAGAAGUCGAUAACCUCAAACUGGAAGAGAUACCGCUUAAGAUGGCAAAAAAGCGAACCACAAACUCCAAAACGAAAUAGAUCUUAAUGAGAGAAAAGAACCAACCAUAGAACAUGAGCCCAAAGCUAAGGGCAAAAAGAAUCGAGUCCGUCUCAUCAUAAAGGAGAGAUUUUCCAGGAUAUUAAAUGACAAACACAACACCACGAUAAGCAAUUAAAUGGCCAAAACAGAAACUUCACUCAAACAAGACCCAUGCAAAAAUCCUACAAAAAGAAGAUUCCGAAAAAUCCUAACAACCCCAAGAAGAACCUGCAAACCAGAGCAACAAGUAAUCAUAUCAAGUAAUCAAGAUGUAUUUAUUAACUACUAGAGAAAAUAUUUGGGCUACGCCCGGGUAAUUUUGAUAAUUGAUAUAGUAUUUUAAAGUUAGAUAACAUAGUUUUUGUUUAAUAACAUUUCUUAUUUUUUAUAUGCUAAGAAAUAGUUUUGUUCUAUCCUGUGUUUUCUUAGAUCAUAUGGAAUAAUUUCAACUCUUAUGAGAUUGGUAUAUAGUUUGAUACCUAGCAUCGUAGGUAGGCGACUAUCAUAUUAUUUUAUAUAGUAAUAUUAAGCACAUUUUCGUAACUUUGUGGAAUAGUUUAGCAAAAGAAUAUUGAUCAGUAUGGUUUUCUACGUGAAAGAUUCAUAAUCUCAAACUGUUAAGUUCCAGCAGAAGUGGUGUAUAUGCCAUCAUGCUUUGAUGAUAAGAAUUAGAAGGUACGUGGUGAAGUUAUACGUCCGUUUAAUAUAUGCAUUUUUUGUUAAAAGUUAUGUCUGUUUAAUUAUGAUUGGUAACUAUAGCUUAAGAUUUGAAGUUUACUAAAAUCUGUGAAUGACAGCAAAAAUUUGUAAAUUAUUAUUGAAUGAUCAUUUAGUGUAAAUAUUUUGCUGGAUGGCCCUCUCUCUUCUCCGGACAACAUUUUUAUAUCUAUUUAAAACUUAAUUUUUAAGAAAGAGCUCAAUAUUAGAAGGACACAGUUGGGCAAAAAUUUAGAGUCAUAGCACAAAACUACUAAUACAAUGGCAAAGAGAAAGUGAAGAUAGGGCUAGAAAGUGAAAAUAUUGCUGGCCUUAUUGAUGCUUAUCUAAACUCAUAUAUUUUCUUUGUUUUCUUUUCCAUUCCUUUAAUUUUACCUCAUUACCUCAUAUAUUUGAACUAUAUAUUGUGUUUUCCAUUUUAAAAAGUAGAAGACAUGGGAAGAGAAGAAGAUAGAAGUUAGAUAGCUGGAUCUUCGAGUUUUCUUUCACCUGAUUUGGUAUCUAGGAAAAUGUUGUUCUCAAGAAGAUGGAAGAUUGUAACAGUUUGGUGAGAAGCCUGGAAUUUGGAUGAUGUAGAUGAUUCACCUCUCGAUAAUCACAUAUUCUACAUGUAGAAUGGCCAAAAGAUGAUUAUAUUAACUAUUAAGAAAACAUAUUGACCUUAACGUAUGUAGAUAUAUCUCUAAGAAAUUAUGUAAAUCAUGAGAAGUAACACUUACUUUGUCGAAGUCGUCGGAGAAACUUAAAACCAAUUAUAAUCUUUUUUCUUGGAAUCUCUUUCUUUUUUUCUGGUAAUAGACCAAGAUGUAGGUUCGCUUCAAGGAAAAAAUCAUCUUUAAAGGUUCGCUUCAAGGACGUCUUUUUCACACCAUACCCUCUACUUAUUUUGUCUUCUCCUCGUCUUGUAUAAACUCCACACUCAUCUUUGAUACUAUUGAUUUGGAUACCCUAGUUUACAGGAAAAGUUGAUUGUAAAAGGAAUACUAACUUUGACGCGCAAACACAAACCAAAAUAUCUUCAUUAUAGAAUAAUGGAACAAACUUGAUUGCAAAAGUUUAUUGAAAAAUAGAAUCUAUCAUUACAAAUUUGUUUACAGAAGGAUACGAAGAGAUCAGUUAGAUUUGGUUACGACUCUUCGAUUUUGGUAUGCCACAUGACUUUUGUUGAGAAUAAGAAAAUUAUGGUAGAAAAAUAAGAAAAUUAUGGUAGAAAUAACGAUUUUUUAUGUGUCCAAAUGAAAUGAAUCAAGUCUCUAUUUAUAGAGUUUAAAAAGUUAUAAACU